CCUACUUUGCACUAAUAGGAAAUGAGUUCUAGAUUUGAAAUAGUUUUUAAAUAAAUCUUCCAGUACCAAAAAGCAAACAGAAGGAAAAAAUGUCUGUUUCUCUGCAAAACACUUGCUUUGAACCUGGCUGUGAGCUAGUGAUAGGGCAUCCGGAGCUCUGGGGCUCCCUCCGACUCAACCCUUGUGGUAAGCAGCCAUUGUUCAGCUCUUCCUUUUGUCUGUUUUUAAUAUUUGAGUACCCCCAGUUGAAGCAGUGUCUCCUGUUUGUGAAGCUGUGCACUAUGGAUCCGUUUGCACUAACCACCAUACAUUUUUGUGUGUUGCGUUUUCCUCUUGUAACAUUUAGCUCGGGUUUGUGGAGUCCCGUCAGCAACCCAAGCAGCCCUGACUUCACUCCCCUCAAUUCGUUCUCCGCCUUUGGAAACUCUUUUAAUCUAACUGGUGAAGUUUUCAGCAAACUCGGAUUAUCUCGAUCGUGCAAUCAGGCCUCACAGAGGAGCUGGAACGAGUUUAAUAGUGGCCCUUCAUACCUUUGGGAGUCGCCAGCGACAGAUCCCAGUCCUUCCUGGCCAGCCAGUUCCGGCUCCCCGACCCACACAGCC
rnacentral:lncRNA from 1 species